rnacentral:rRNA from 1 species
AUUGAACGCUGGCGGCAUGCUUUACACAUGCAAGUCGAACGGUAACAGGCCGCAAGGUGCUGACGAGUGGCGAACGGGUGAGUAAUGCAUCGGAACGUGCCCAGCCGUGGGGGAUAACGCAGCGAAAGCUGUGCUAAUACCGCAUACGAUCUAUGGAUGAAAGCGGGGGACCGUGAGGCCUCGCGCGAUUGGAGCGGCCGAUGUCAGAUUAGGUAGUUGGUGGGGUAAAGGCCUACCAAGCCGACGAUCUGUAGCUGGUCUGAGAGGACGACCAGCCACACGGGGACUGAGACACGGCCCAGACUCCUACGGGAGGCGGCAGUGGGGAAUUUUGGACAAUGGGCGCAAGCCUGAUCCAGCAAUGCCGCGUGCAGGAAGAAGGCCUUCGGGUUGUAAACUGCUUUUGUACGGAACGAAACGGUCUGGGUUAAUACCCUGGGCUAAUGACGGUACCGUAAGAAUAAGCACCGGCUAACUACGUGCCAGCCGCCGCCGUAAGAC